UAUCACAAAAUACAAGAACACAAUUUUACAAUUGUUUUAUUGAACUGUUUUAUGAAACGUGUAAUACAAUAUUUAUCUACUAAUAAUAUAUAUAAAUAUAUAUAUAUAUAUCAAAAUGAUUGUUUUAGGACUUAGUUUUAAAACUUACUAAUAAAUACUAUUUACAGACAGCACCCAUAAGCAUAUGACAUCAGAACACUGCAACUGACUUUAACAAAACAUUUUUGGCAUAAGCUUGGCAAAAACAGACCCCUGCACAAACUUGCAACUAGCCUUUAAGCUCUCAAAUAGUACUCCACAAUGUUAAUUGCUUAAAUAUUAGAGUAAACCACAUUUCAAUACUGUACGUGUUGUACACCCUCACCAGUAAAAAAAAAAUGUACACUUGGAGAGAAUAUAUUCUUUCACUACCAAUACCUUCACCAUCCUACACAUGACUCCAUAUGCAUACAUGGUCUACACUUAGGGUUAAUGUUAAAUUUAAAAACUAGACCAAACAUUUACAAUAUUUAUAUAAUAUAAAGAUCACAGAACAGACAUAAAAUAUUAACUAUCAAAUGUACUCUGUGUGAUGGAUAGAACACAAAUACAAAAUAUU